AAAAUCCGUCGAUUCUUUAAAUCAUGAGGGUUCAAGUCCCUCUAUCCCC
rnacentral:tRNA from 2 species